CAGUCGCCGCGGGAAUACGAAGGGUGCAAGCGUUAAUCGGAAUUACUGGGCGUAAAGCGUGCGUAGGCGGUUUGUUAAGUCUGCUGUGAAAUCCCCGGGCUCAACCUGGGAAUGGCAUUUGAAACUGGCAAGCUAGAGUCUUGUAGAGGGGGGUAGAAUUCCAGGUGUAGCGGUGAAAUGCGUAGAGAUCGGAAGGAACACCUGUGGCGAAAGCGGCUCACUGGACCAUCACUGACGCUGAUGCACGAAAGCUAGGGGAGCAAACAGGAUUAGAUACCCCGGUAGUCCCUGUCUCUUAUAC
rnacentral:rRNA from 1 species